rnacentral:rRNA from 1 species
GGGGAAUAUUGCACAAUGGGCGAAAGCCUGAUGCAGCAACGCCGCGUGAGUGAUGAAGGUCUUCGGAUUGUAAAGCUCUGUCUUUUGGGACGAUAAUGACGGUACCAAAGGAGGAAGCCACGGCUAACUACGUGCCAGCAGCCGCGGUAAUACGUAGGUGGCGAGCGUUGUCCGGAUUUACUGGGCGUAAAGGGUGCGUAGGCGGAUGUUUAAGUGAGAUGUGAAAUACCCGGGCUUAACUUGGGUGCUGCAUUUCAAACUGGAUAUCUAGAGUGCAGGAGAGGAGAAUGGAAUUCCUAGUGUAGCGGUGAAAUGCGUAGAGAUUAGGAAGAACACCAGUGGCGAAGGCGAUUCUCUGGACUGUAACUGACGCUGAGGCACGAAAGCGUGGGUAGCAAACAGGAUUAGAUACCCUGGUAGUCCACGCCGUAAACGAUGAGUACUAGGUGUAGGAGGUAUCGACCCCUUCUGUGCCGCAGUAAACACAUUAAGUACUCCGCCUGGGAAGUACGAUCGCAAGAUUAAAACUCUAAAGUGAA